UCUAUUCUCUUGUUCUUUAUAUUCCUCCUUCUUCUAUUUUAUUUUUCCCCUCAUUUUUUCUAUUCCUCGUUUUUUUGUUUUAUCUUUCCUUUGCUCUUUCUAUUACUCCUUUCUAUGUUUUCUCAUUCCCUUGUUCAUUCUAUUCCUCCUUUUUCUAUUUUCUCGUUCCCUCGUUCUUCUAUUCCUCCUUUUUCUAUUUCCUUGUUCCCUUGCAUUCUUUCUAUUCCUCCUUUUUUUGUUUUCUCGUUCCCUCAUUCUUUCCAUUUCUCCUUUUUUUGUUUUCUUAUUUCUUUGUUCAUUCUAUAUCUCCUUUUCAUGUUUUCUUGUUCUCUUGUUCUUUCUAUUCCUCCUUUUUCUACCUUCUCGAUCCCUUGUUCUUUCUAUUCUUUAAUUUUCUAUUUUCUCAUUCCCUCGUUCUUUCUAUUUUUCCUCUUUCUAUUAUCUUUUUCCCUCGUUCUUUCUAUUCUUUCAUUUUCUAUUUUGUCGUUCCCUCAUUUUUUCUAUUCCUCCUGUUUCUACUUCCUUUUUCCCUUGCUCUUUCUAUACCACUGUUUUAUGUUUCCUCGUUCCCUCAUUCUUUCUAUUCCCUUUUUUGCUUCUUUCUUGUUCCCUCAUUCUUUCUAUUCUUUAUUUUACUUUUUUCUCGUUACCUCGUUCUUUCUAUUAUUUCAUUUUCUAUUUUCUCGUUGCCUUGUUCUUUCUAUUCCUCCUUUUUGUAUUUUCUCAUUCUCUCAUUCUUUCUAUUCCUCCUUUUUUUGUUUUCUCGUUCCCUCAUUCUUUCCAUUUCUCCUUUUUUUGUUUUCUUAUUUCUUUGUUCAUUCUAUAUCUCCUUUUCAUGUUUUCUUGUUCUCUUGUUCUUUCUAUUCCUCCUUUUUCUACCUUCUCGAUCCCUUGUUCUUUCUAUUCUUUAAUUUUCUAUUUUCUCAUUCCCUCGUUCUUUCUAUUUUUCCUCUUUCUAUUAUCUUUUUCCCUCGUUCUUUCUAUUCUUUCAUUUUCUAUUUUGUCGUUCCCUCAUUUUUUCUAUUCCUCCUGUUUCUACUUCCUUUUUCCCUUGCUCUUUCUAUACCACUGUUUUAUGUUUCCUCGUUCCCUCAUUCUUUCUAUUCCCUUUUUUGCUUCUUUCUUGUUCCCUCAUUCUUUCUAUUCUUUAUUUUACUUUUUUCUCGUUACCUCGUUCUUUCUAUUAUUUCAUUUUCUAUUUUCUCGUUGCCUUGUUCUUUCUAUUCCUCCUUUUUGUAUUUUCUCAUUCUCUCAUUCUUUCUAUUCCUCCUUUUUUUGUUUUCUCGUUCCCUCAUUCUUUCCAUUUCUCCUUUUUUUGUUUUCUUAUUUCUUUGUUCAUUCUAUAUCUCCUUUUCAUGUUUUCUUGUUCUCUUGUUCUUUCUAUUCCUCCUUUUUCUACCUUCUCGAUCCCUUGUUCUUUCUAUUCUUUAAUUUUCUAUUUUCUCAUUCCCUCGUUCUUUCUAUUUUUCCUCUUUCUAUUAUCUUUUUCCCUCGUUCUUUCUAUUCUUUCAUUUUCUAUUUUGUCGUUCCCUCAUUUUUUCUAUUCCUCCUGUUUCUACUUCCUUUUUCCCUUGCUCUUUCUAUACCACUGUUUUAUGUUUCCUCGUUCCCUCAUUCUUUCUAUUCCCUUUUUUGCUUCUUUCUUGUUCCCUCAUUCUUUCUAUUCUUUAUUUUACUUUUUUCUCGUUACCUCGUUCUUUCUAUUAUUUCAUUUUCUAUUUUCUCGUUGCCUUGUUCUUUCUAUUCCUCCUUUUUGUAUUUUCUCAUUCUCUCAUUCUUUCUAUUCCUCCUUUUUUUGUUUUCUCGUUCCCUCAUUCUUUCCAUUUCUCCUUUUUUUGUUUUCUUAUUUCUUUGUUCAUUCUAUAUCUCCUUUUCAUGUUUUCUUGUUCUCUUGUUCUUUCUAUUCCUCCUUUUUCUACCUUCUCGAUCCCUUGUUCUUUCUAUUCUUUAAUUUUCUAUUUUCUCAUUCCCUCGUUCUUUCUAUUUUUCCUCUUUCUAUUAUCUUUUUCCCUCGUUCUUUCUAUUCUUUCAUUUUCUAUUUUGUCGUUCCCUCAUUUUUUCUAUUCCUCCUGUUUCUACUUCCUUUUUCCCUUGCUCUUUCUAUACCACUGUUUUAUGUUUCCUCGUUCCCUCAUUCUUUCUAUUCCCUUUUUUGCUUCUUUCUUGUUCCCUCAUUCUUUCUAUUCUUUAUUUUACUUUUUUCUCGUUACCUCGUUCUUUCUAUUAUUUCAUUUUCUAUUUUCUCGUUGCCUUGUUCUUUCUAUUCCUCCUUUUUGUAUUUUCUCAUUCUCUCAUUCUUUCUAUUCCUCCUUUUUUUGUUUUCUCGUUCCCUCAUUCUUUCCAUUUCUCCUUUUUUUGUUUUCUUAUUUCUUUGUUCAUUCUAUAUCUCCUUUUCAUGUUUUCUUGUUCUCUUGUUCUUUCUAUUCCUCCUUUUUCUACCUUCUCGAUCCCUUGUUCUUUCUAUUCUUUAAUUUUCUAUUUUCUCAUUCCCUCGUUCUUUCUAUUUUUCCUCUUUCUAUUAUCUUUUUCCCUCGUUCUUUCUAUUCUUUCAUUUUCUAUUUUGUCGUUCCCUCAUUUUUUCUAUUCCUCCUGUUUCUACUUCCUUUUUCCCUUGCUCUUUCUAUACCACUGUUUUAUGUUUCCUCGUUCCCUCAUUCUUUCUAUUCCCUUUUUUGCUUCUUUCUUGUUCCCUCAUUCUUUCUAUUCUUUAUUUUACUUUUUUCUCGUUACCUCGUUCUUUCUAUUAUUUCAUUUUCUAUUUUCUCGUUGCCUUGUUCUUUCUAUUCCUCCUUUUUGUAUUUUCUCAUUCUCUCAUUCUUUCUAUUCCUCCUUUUUUUGUUUUCUCGUUCCCUCAUUCUUUCCAUUUCUCCUUUUUUUGUUUUCUUAUUUCUUUGUUCAUUCUAUAUCUCCUUUUCAUGUUUUCUUGUUCUCUUGUUCUUUCUAUUCCUCCUUUUUCUACCUUCUCGAUCCCUUGUUCUUUCUAUUCUUUAAUUUUCUAUUUUCUCAUUCCCUCGUUCUUUCUAUUUUUCCUCUUUCUAUUAUCUUUUUCCCUCGUUCUUUCUAUUCUUUCAUUUUCUAUUUUGUCGUUCCCUCAUUUUUUCUAUUCCUCCUGUUUCUACUUCCUUUUUCCCUUGCUCUUUCUAUACCACUGUUUUAUGUUUCCUCGUUCCCUCAUUCUUUCUAUUCCCUUUUUUGCUUCUUUCUUGUUCCCUCAUUCUUUCUAUUCUUUAUUUUACUUUUUUCUCGUUACCUCGUUCUUUCUAUUAUUUCAUUUUCUAUUUUCUCGUUGCCUUGUUCUUUCUAUUCCUCCUUUUUGUAUUUUCUCAUUCUCUCAUUCUUUCUAUUCCUCCUUUUUUUGUUUUCUCGUUCCCUCAUUCUUUCCAUUUCUCCUUUUUUUGUUUUCUUAUUUCUUUGUUCAUUCUAUAUCUCCUUUUCAUGUUUUCUUGUUCUCUUGUUCUUUCGUCUGCAUAUUGAAUAGGUAUG
rnacentral:lncRNA from 12 species